UACGAAGGGUGCAAGCGUUACUCGGAAUUACUGGGCGUAAAGCGUGCGUAGGUGGUUUGUUAAGUCUGUUGUGAAAGCCCCGGGCUCAACCUGGGAAUGGCAAUGGAUACUGGCAGGCUAGAGUGCGGUAGAGGGUAGUGGAAUUCCCGGUGUAGCGGUGAAAUGCGUAGAGAUGCGGAGGAACACCGAAGGCGAAGGCAGUGUCCUGGCGAGUAACUGACGCUGAGGUGCGAAAGCCAGGGGAGCGAACGGG
rnacentral:rRNA from 1 species